rnacentral:rRNA from 1 species
AUUGAACGCUGGCGGCAGGCCUAACACAUGCAAGUCGAACGGUAACAGGAAGAAGCUUGCUUCUUUGCUGACGAGUGGCGGACGGGUGAGUAAUGUCUGGGAAACUGCCUGAUGGAGGGGGAUAACUACUGGAAACGGUAGCUAAUACCGCAUAACGUCGCAAGACCAAAGAGGGGGACCUUCGGGCCUCUUGCCAUCGGAUGUGCCCAGAUGGGAUUAGCUAGUAGGUGGGGUAACGGCUCACCUAGGCGACGAUCCCUAGCUGGUCUGAGAGGAUGACCAGCCACACUGGAACUGAGACACGGUCCAGACUCCAACGGGAGGCAGCAGUGGGGAAUAUUGCACAAUGGGCGCAAGCCUGAUGCAGCCAUGCCGCGUGUAUGAAGAAGGCCUUCGGGUUGUAAAGUACUUUCAGCGGGGAGGAAGGGAGUAAAGUUAAUACCUUUGCUCAUUGACGUUACCCGCAGAAGAAGCACCGGCUAACUCCGUG